rnacentral:rRNA from 2 species
GCGUAGAUAUAUGGAAGAACACCAGUGGCGAAAGGCGGGUACUGGUCUGCAACUGACGUGAGACUCGAAAAGCAUGGGUAGCGAACCGGAUUGGAUACCCUGGUAGUCCAUGCCGUAAACGAUGAGUGCUAGGUGUUGGAGGGUUUCCGCCCUUCAGUGCCGGAGCUAACGCAUUAAAGCACUCCGCCUGGGGAGUACGACCGCAAGGUUGAAACUCAAAGGAAUUGACGGGGGCCCGCACAAAGCGGUGGAGCAUGUGGUUUAAUUCGAAGGUACGCGAAGAACCUUACCAGGUCUUGACAUCUUGCGCCAACCCUAGAGAUAGGGCGUUUCCUUCGGGAACGCAAUGACAGGUGGUGCAUGGUCGUCGUCAGCUCGUGUCGUGAGAUGUUGGGUUAAGUCCCGCAACGAGCGCAACCCUUUUACUAGUUGCCAGCAUUAAGUUGGGCACUCUAGUGAGACUGCCGGUGACAAACCGGAGGAAGGUGGGGACGACGUCAGAUCAUCAUGCCCCUUAUGACCUGGGCUACACACGUGCUACAAUGGACGGUACAACGAGUCGCGAACUCGCGAGGGCAAGCAAAUCUCUUAAAACCGUUCUCAGUUCGGACUGCAGGCUGCAACUCGCCUGCACGAAGUCGGAAUCGCUAGUAAUCGCGGAUCAGCAUGCCGCGGUGAAUACGUUCCCGGGCCUUGUACACACCGCCCGUCACACCAUGAGAGUUUGUA